rnacentral:rRNA from 1 species
AGAGUUUGAUCCUGGCUCAGGACGAACGCUGGCGGCGUGCCUAACACAUGCAAGUCGAACGGAGUUAAGCCCUUCGGGACUUGACUUAGUGGCGAACGGGUGAGUAACGCGUGAGCAACCUACCUUUCAGUGGGGGACAACAGUUGGAAACGACUGCUAAUACCGCAUGAAACUUAUCGGGGGCAUCCCUGAAAAGUCAAAGCUUUAUGUGCUGAAAGAUGGGCUCGCGUCUGAUUAGCUGGAUGGCGGGGUAACGGCCCACCAUGGCGACGAUCAGUAGCCGGUCUGAGAGGAUGAACGGCCACAUUGGGACUGAGAUACGGCCCAGACUCCUACGGGAGGCAGCAGUGGGGAAUAUUGGGCAAUGGGGGAAACCCUGACCCAGCAACGCCGCGUGAAGGAAGAAGGCCUUCGGGUUGUAAACUUCUUUUACCAGGGACGAAGGACGUGACGGUACCUGGAGAAAAAGCAACGGCUAACUACGUGCCAGCAGCCGCGGUAAUACGUAGGUUGCAAGCGUUGUCCGGAUUUACUGGGUGUAAAGGGCGUGUAGGCGGAGGAGCAAGUCAGAUGUGAAAUCCCGGGGCUCAACCCCGGAACUGCAUUUGAAACUGUUUCCCUUGAGUAUCGGAGAGGCAAGCGGAAUUCCUAGUGUAGCGGUGAAAUGCGUAGAUAUUAGGAGGAACACCAGUGGCGAAGCGGCUUGCUGGACGACAACUGACGCUGAGGCGCGAAAGCGUGGGGAGCAAACAGGAUUAGAUACCCUGGUAGUCCACGCUGUAAACGAUGAAUACUAGUGU